UACGUAGGGGGCAAGCGUUAUCCGGAAUUACUGGGUGUAAAGGGUGCGUAGGCGGCAUGGUAAGCCAGAUGUGAAAGCCUUGGGCUUAACUCGAGGAUUGCAUUUGGAACUAUCAAGCUAGAGUACAGGAGAGGGAAGCGGAAUUCCUAGUGUAGCGGUGAAAUGCGUAGAUAUUAGGAAGAACACCAGUGGCGAAGGCGGCUUUCUGGACUGAAACUGACGCUGAGGCACGAAAGCGUGGGGAGCGAACAGG
rnacentral:rRNA from 1 species